CAGUCGCCGCGGUAAUACGUAGGUGGCAAGCGUUGUCCGGAAUUAUUGGGCGUAAAGGGCUCGCAGGCGGUUUCUUAAGUCUGAUGUGAAAGCCCCCGGCUCAACCGGGGAGGGUCAUUGGGAACUGGGAAACUUGAGUGCAGAAGAGGAGAGUGGAAUUCCACGUGUAGCGGUGAAAUGCGUAGAGAUGUGGAGGAACACCAGUGGCGAAGGCGACUCUCUGGUCUGUAACUGACGCUGAGGAGCGAAAGCGUGGGGAGCGAACAGGAUUAGAUACCCCUGUAGUCCCUGUCUCUUAUAC
rnacentral:rRNA from 1 species